AUACUUACCUGGCGUUGGGGUUAUCUGUGAUCAACAAGGCAGAUCCCCCGGGGUGAGGCUUUCUCAUUGCACUUCGAGGGAGCUGACCCCCGCGAAUACUCCGAAAGUGGGUAUCUCGGACGUGUUAUUUUUGAUAGCUGGGACUGCGUACGCGCUGUCCCGA